rnacentral:rRNA from 1 species
GAUGAACGCUGGCGGCGUGCCUAAUACAUGCAAGUCGAGCGAACAGACGAGGAGCUUGCUCCUCUGACGUUAGCGGCGGACGGGUGAGUAACACGUGGAUAACCUACCUAUAAGACUGGGAUAACUUCGGGAACCCGGAGCUAAUACCGGAUAAUAUAUUGAACCGCAUGGUUCAAUAGUGAAAGACGGUUUUGCUGUCACUUAUAGAUGGAUCCGCGCCGCAUUAGCUAGUUGGUAAGGUAACGGCUUACCAAGGCAACGAUGCGUAGCCGACCUGAGAGGGUGAUCGGCCACACUGGAACUGAGACACGGUCCAGACUCCUACGGGAGGCAGCAGUAGGGAAUCUUCCGCAAUGGGCGAAAGCCUGACGGAGCAACGUCGCGUGAGUGAUGAAGGUCUUCGGAUCGUAAAACUCUGUUAUUAGGGAAGAACAAAUGUGUAAGUAACUAUGCACGUCUUGACGGUACCUAAUCAGAAAGCCACGGCUAACUACGUG